rnacentral:rRNA from 1 species
GACGAACGCUGGCGGCGCGCCUAACACAUGCAAGUCGAACGAGCGAGAGAGAGCUUGCUUUCUCAAGCGAGUGGCGAACGGGUGAGUAACGCGUGAGGAACCUGCCUCAAAGAGGGGGACAACAGUUGGAAACGACUGCUAAUACCGCAUAAGCCCACGACCCGGCAUCGGGUAGAGGGAAAAGGAGCAAUCCGCCUUGGGAUGGCCACGCGUCCGAUUAGCUAGUUGGUGGGGUAACGGCCCACCAAGGCGACGACCGGUAGCCGGGCCGAGAGGCUGAACCGACACACUGGGACUGAGACACGGCCCAGACUCCUACGGGAGGCAGCAGUGGGGAAUAUUGCACAAUGGGGGAAACCCUGAUGCAGCGACGCCGCGUGGAGGAAGAAGGUCUUCGGAUUGUAAACUCCUGUUGCUGAGGAAGAUAAUGACGGUACUCAACAAGGAAGUGACGGCUAACUACGUG